rnacentral:rRNA from 1 species
GUGGGGAAUAUUGCACAAUGGGCGAAAGCCUGAUGCAGCGACGCCGCGUGAGGGAUGACGGCCUUCGGGUUGUAAACCUCUUUCAGCAGGGAAGAAGCUUUUGUGACGGUACCUGCAGAAGAAGCACCGGCUAACUACGUGCCAGCAGCCGCGGUAAUACGUAGGGUGCGAGCGUUGUCCGGAAUUAUUGGGCGUAAAGAGCUUGUAGGCGGUUUGUCGCGUCUGCUGUGAAAAUUCAGGGCUUAACCCUGGACGUGCAGUGGGUACGGGCAGACUAGAGUAUGGUAGGGGAGACUGGAAUUCCUGGUGUAGCGGUGGAAUGCGCAGAUAUCAGGAGGAACACCGAUGGCGAAGGCAGGUCUCUGGGCCAUUACUGACGCUGAGAAGCGAAAGCAUGGGGAGCGAACAGGAUUAGAUACCCCUGUAGUCC